rnacentral:rRNA from 1 species
GAUGAACGCUGGCGGCGUGCCUAAUACAUGCAAGUCGAGCGAACAGACGAGGAGCUUGCUCCUUUGACGUUAGCGGCGGACGGGUGAGUAACACGUAGGUAACCUACCUAUAAGACUGGGAUAACUUCGGGAAACCGGAGCUAAUACCGGAUAAUAUUUCGAACCGCAUGGUUCGAUAGUGAAAGAUGGCUUUGCUAUCACUUAUAGAUGGACCUGCGCCGUAUUAGCUAGUUGGUAAGGUAACGGCUUACCAAGGCAACGAUACGUAGCCGACCUGAGAGGGUGAUCGGCCACACUGGAACUGAGACACGGUCCAGACUCCUACGGGAGGCAGCAGUAGGGAAUCUUCCGCAAUGGGCGAAAGCCUGACGGAGCAACGCCGCGUGAGUGAUGAAGGUCUUCGGAUCGUAAAACUCUGUUAUUAGGGAAGAACAACCGUGUAAGUAACUGUGCACGUCUUGACGGUACCUAAUCAGAAAGCCACGGCUAACUACGUG